rnacentral:rRNA from 1 species
CCUACGGGAGGCAGCAGUGGGGGAUAUUGGACAAUGGGGGGAACCCUGAUCCAGCGACGCCGCGUGAGUGAAGAAGUAUUUCGGUAUGUAAAGCUCUGUCAGCAGGGAAGAAAGAAAUGACGGUACCUGACCAAGAAGCCCCGGCUAACUACGUGCCAGCAGCCGCGGUAAUACGUAGGGGGCAAGCGUUAUCCGGAAUUACUGGGUGUAAAGGGAGCGUAGACGGUUGAGUAAGAUAGUGGUGAAAUCCCAGGGCUUAACUUUGGAAUUGCCAUUAUAACUAUUAGACUAGAAUUACAGAGAGGAUAGUGGAAUACCCAGUGUAGAGGUGAAAUUCGUAGAUAUUGGGUAGAACACCAGUGGCGAAGGCGACUAUCUGGCUGUACAUUGACGCUGAGGCUCGAAAGCAUGGGGAUCAAACAGGAUUAGAUACCCCUGUAGUC